UGUUAGUGGAAGCGUCUGGAAAGGCGCGCGAUACAGGGUGACAGCCCCGUACACAAAAAUGCACAUGCUGUGAGCUCGAUGAGUAGGGCGGGACACGUGGUAUCCUGUCUGAAUAUGGGGGGACCAUCCUCCAAGGCUAAAUACUCCUGACUGACCGAUAGUGAACCAGUACCGUGAGGGAAAGGCGAAAAGAACCCCGGCGAGGGGAGUGAAAAAGAACCUGAAACCGUGUACGUACAAGCAGUGGGAGCACGCUUAGGCGUGUGACUGCGUACCUUUUGUAUAAUGGGUCAGCGACUUAUAUUCUGUAGCAAGGUUAACCGAAUAGGGGAGCCGAAGGGAAACCGAGUCUUAACUGGGCGUUAAGUUGCAGGGUAUAGACCCGAAACCCGGUGAUCUAGCCAUGGGCAGGUUGAAGGUUGGGUAACACUAACUGGAGGACCGAACCGACUAAUGUUGAAAAAUUAGCGGAUGACUUGUGGCUGGGGGUGAAAGGCCAAUCAAACCGGGAGAUAGCUGGUUCUCCCCGAAAGCUAUUUAGGUAGCGCCUCGUGAAUUCAUCUCCGGGGGUAGAGCACUGUUUCGGCAAGGGGGUCAUCCCGACUUACCAACCCGAUGCAAACUGCGAAUACCGGAGAAUGUUAUCACGGGAGACACACGGCGGGUGCUAACGUCCGUCGUGAAGAGGGAAACAACCCAGACCGCCAGCUAAGGUCCCAAAGUCAUGGUUAAGUGGGAAACGAUGUGGGAAGGCCCAGACAGCCAGGAUGUUGGCUUAGAAGCAGCCAUCAUUUAAAGAAAGCGUAAUAGCUCACUGGUCGAGUCGGCCUGCGCGGAAGAUGUAACGGGGCUAAACCAUG
rnacentral:rRNA from 1 species